GGAAGGGUGGGAGAGUGGUUAAAUCCACGAGACUGUAAAUCUCGCGCUUCACGGCUACACUGGUUCGAAUCCAGUCCCUUCCACCA
rnacentral:tRNA from 1 species